rnacentral:lncRNA from 1 species
UAAAGUAAGAAAGCUGGUGAUGAAUAUGAAAAACGUGUCAAAAGUUUUGUAGAAAAAGCAACUAAAGAUAUAUAUAUAUAUAUAUAUAUAUAGACACCCACAAUAUCCAUGUGAACAAUAAAACAAACAAACAAACAGUGAAUCGAACAACAAAUGAAAUCUUGUGGAUAGAUAGACAAGUAGACAUGCGGCGAAAUAAAUUGUGGGUACCAGAUUUUGAUUCUACGAGAUGACAUGACAACCAUGAUCGCCAGAUGCUCGCACGUACAGCCUUUGCAUAUUCAAACCAACGUGCCUCUCUUGUUGUUCAACUACAACGACAACCACAACAACAACAGCAGCAGCAACAAUGUAAGUGGCAUGUGAGAGCAAAACCCACUUCAUCAAUGAGAACUCUUCCACAGAAUCCAAACCGAAAGCAAGUGCAACGUAAAAGCAAAGCAAAGCACUGCACAGCAAGCAAGCGUUGCAGCGGCGACCAAGACUGUGCUCUCUCUCUCUCGCUCUCGCUCUCGCUCUCUCUCCAGGAAGUUAAGCAUGUUAAGACAGUACCUGAUCAGUGCCCGAUGGACACCGAAAACCAUGUUUUGAGCUUCCAGUACUUCCCACAACAUUAAUGGUUUCCACAGUUCACGACAGUACUUGAAACUCUAGUGUGUUCGGUGCGUAAGGUUCUCGGAAUGUCAGAGCUGGAAGUUCGUGCUCUAGACCCUGUUGCAAGACUCUAGCACGGAGAAGCAUCGAGACCUGGGUUCUUCUGAUUUUCAAGCGUCGCAAAAGCUGGUAUUUCUGUGAGUGUUUCUGGAGGGGGCGAAGCACUCGGUGAAAGACCAU